UGGGAGCUUAAAGGAAGAAGCCUUCCUCCAGCUUCCCUCACUCCUUCCAGCAGGUGGAGAGUGUGGUGGUGGGUGCAGCAGUGGUGUCCCUGUAGGGGCAGCGUCAUGGCCCAGAAUGUCACCUACGCAGAACUCAACCUGGAGCAGAAAGCUCAACCACAUCAGACCAACAGCAGCAAGGAAGCAGGCGCCAUCUAUGCAGAACUGAAGAACACAGCCCCACUCUCACAGUCUUCACAGAUCUCCUCUGACCAUGGAAACCUUUAUCAGGAACUGAAUAUCGAUGAUGGAGGCAGGUCCCACACCAAGCCAGGCUGGCGAUAUGGGGCCUGGGCCUGGAUCCUGGCCGGGUUCGUCGGGAUCUUGUUAGUGUCAGUGACCGUGACCUUGAUUGUGAAAUCUCUCCCGAACUCCCAGACCCAGACAGCUGCCAUCAACUCCAACUUCACCAAUCUGACUAACCUGACCUUCAGGACCCCCCAAACCACCCAGCCCUCCUGGACCACCCAGACCUCAGACUGCACCCCAAGAGCCAUGUCCUUGAACUGCAAUGCAGAAGGCUGGGAGGCCUUUGGGGGAAGCUGCUACCUCAUCUGUGAGACCUCACAAAACUGUGGUGGCAAACAACCCAAGUGCAAAGAAUGUUCAGACUGUGACCAGGAGAAACAUGGCACCUGGAACUGCAGCCGACGGGAAUGUUCCCGCGACGGGGCUGACCUUGUGAUCAUCAACAGCAGACAGGAGCUGGAGUUUCUCCACAGCAGAUUAAGACCAUCGGGAUGUUUUUACUACAUCGGUCUCAACAAAAUCCAAGACCAGUGGCGAUGGAUCAAUGGCGAGCCUCUGAUAGAGAGCAAGGUGCCGCUGGAAAAUAUCAAUAAAACAGAUACUAGAGACCAUCACUGUGCUACGAUUCGCCAUGGUAACGUGUCAACAGCAUCGUGUAAUGAUACUGAUAGACAUAACUGGAUCUGCGAGAAGGGAGCUGGUGGUCGGAGCUGCCCGACGUCACGGACUCAAGCCAGGGGAGCUUGAGCUUGAAGAGCGGGGAUGGAACCAGACAACAGGGCCAGCGGGUCGUUAUUCAUUCAUUCAUCCAAUUAUUUAUUGAGCAAUUAUUGUGGGAGGGGCACUGUACGAAGCACUUGGAAAGUACAGUUUGUCAACAAAUAGAGACAAUCCCUACCCAACAACGGGCUCACAGUCUAGAAGGGGCGAGACAGACAACAAAACAAACAAGUAAUCAGGCAUCAAUACCAUCAAAAUGGAUAAAUAGAAUUAUGGAUAUAUACACAUCAAUAAUAAAAUAAAUAGAAUAAUAAAUAUGUACAUACAUAUACACGUUCUGUGGAGCAGGGAAGAGGGUAGAGCAGAGGGAGGGAGUAGGGGCGAUGGGGAGGGGAAGAGGAGCACAGGAAAAAGGGGGCUCUGUCUGGGAAGGCCUCCUGGAGGAGGUGAGCUUUCAGUAGGGCUUUGAAGGGGGGAAGUGAGCUAGUUUGGCGGAUGAGAGGAGGGAGGGCAUCCCAGGCCAGAGGUAGGAUUUGGGCCAGGAGUCGAAAUCGGGACAGGUGAUGGGGGAGGGUGUGUGUGUGUGUGUGUGUUGGUUAGGAUUGUACAGGGUCUUUUUCUUGCAAGAGUACACAACUCUGGCAGAAAUUAGUUAAAGGCAAGGCCUGGGGUAGGAGUAGGGGAAGGGGCAGCAGUGGGGACAGUGAUGGGGUCAGGGCAGAUGGCUGCAUCCUGGAGAUGGACUGAAGCCUCUCCCCCUGCCCUGGGCCAACUCACAGCCAAUGACCUCCACUGUUCCUCCCCCUGGUCAGCCCACACCUGUCAUCUUUGAGGACAGUGGGUCUGACCUGCCCAGGACGCGGACUGACCAGCCCUUUUGAGGACAGACACCUGGUCCUCACUACAGGGCCCGAGUGUCCCCAGCAGCUCCCAGGAUUGCCCAGAAAGAUGCUCCUGGGGCUCCUCAAUGGUGCCUGGAGGCUGCCCGGACUGCUGCCACCACCCUCUCACUCUUGGCUCUGGCACUCAACUCAAGUUGUAAGUGUUCCGGGAGCGGCUGGUGUUCCUGCCCCUACCACUGGUUCUCAGACUGGAUGAGGUUAUCUGGGUCUGGGUCUCCCUGGUUUUCUGUGUGCAUCUGGGUCUGUGUUUCUGUGUAUGUGUGUGUGUGUGUGUGUGUGUGUGUGAAUCUGUUUGUACUUGUUUCUGUAUUUAUGUGUGUGCCUUUGCCUGUGUGUACACCUGUUUCUGUUUUCAUAUGUUCCUGUGCUUGUGUCCAUGUGUGUCUGCGUGUGUCUGUUUCUGUGUAUUUCCAUGUGUGUCUGUGUCUGUGUCCUUGUAUAUGUAUGUGUGUCUGAGUCUGUGUCCUUGUGCUUGUGUGUGUCUGUGUUCGUGUGUGUCUGUGUCUGUGCCUGUGUGCAUCCGUGUCUAUGUAUGUUUGUGUUCACUCCCCAGAACCAGGGAGACUCCAGCUCAGCGGUCUCCAGUCACAGUCAGCUUUCACAGUCCUGCUUCCUGUGAACAACUGCAUUUGUACAUAAGAGGCUCAGUCCAGAUCAGGAAAUAAACCCCUCCCUCUGACCCAAAUGAAGGAGUCCCCACCCCCUGAGACCCUGCUGAUGUCCCUGUGCAACUUGCCUGCCCACACUGCUCACAGUCCUGUGAGCCCUGCCUGAGCUCUGGGUUCUGGAUUCUCAUCCCCUGGGCCAGGUCCGCCUCCCUGCUCUAUUGCUCCACCUCCCCCCUGUAUUGCUCCACCUCCCUGCCCUAUAGCUCUGCCUCCCUACCAUUAAGCUCCACCUCGCUGACCCAACACUCUGCAGGGAUUGGCCAGGCUCAGGCCGGUGUCACCCAUUGGUGAUUGACACCCCAUGGCCCAGCUCCCUGGGAGGCUGCUGAGCUUGGGGGUGAGUGGCCUCCUCACCCCAGAACUUCCCUAAUGGAGUCAAGCCCAAUAGUCAUCAGGAGAGGGAGACAGGGCCCUUGGGUUAUGGCCCCCAGAUGGGGCAGGGAGAGCAGAAGACUGGGGCAGGGAGGGAGUGACCAGCCCCCAGGCCAGCAGCGCAGGCUCCUGGGGAAGGGACUCACUUCAGUGACUUCAUUGUUGAGGAGGGAUUGUCUCUAUCUGUUGCCAAAUUAUACAUUCCAAGCGCUUAGUACAGUGCUUUGCACACAGUAAGCGCUCAAUAAAUACAACUGAAUGAAUAAGUACGAUUUAAUGAAUGAGUAAAUACAAUUGAAUGAAUGAAUGAAUGAAUAUAGGCAAAGAAAUCUGGACACAAACCCUGUCCCCCAUAGGGCUCACAGUAUAUUCAUUCUCAUUUAACGGAUGUGGUAAAUGAGGCAAAGAGAAAUGAAGCAACUUGCCCAAGGUCAAGCAGCAGAUAAGUAAUAAUAAUGAUGAUGAUGAUGAUGGUAUUUGUUAAGUGUUUACUAUAUGCCAAGCACUGUUCUAAGCCCCGAAGAAGAUAUAAGGUAAUCAGGUUGUCCCACGUAGGGCUCACAUUCUCAAUCAUUUUACAGAUGAGGCCCAGAAAAGUGAAGUGACUUGCCCAGAGUCACACAGGUGACGAGUGGCAGAGCCAGGAUUAGAACCCACGACCUCUGACUCCCAAGCCCAUGCUCUUUCCACUAAGCCACCCUGUGGAGUUGUGAUUAAAGCUUAGGUCCUUCUGACUCCCAGGCCUGUGCUCUAUUCAUUCGUUUAUUCAAUUGUAUUUAUUGAGCACUUAUUGUGUGCUCUGUACUGUACUGUACUAAGCACUCUACCAAGUGCUUGGAAAGUACAAUUUGGCAACAGAUAGAGACAAUCCCUAUUCAACAACGGGCUCAAAAUCUAGAAGGGGGAGACCGACAACAGAUCAAACCAAAACAAAACAAGUAGACAGGCAUCAAUACCAUCAAAAUAAAUAGAAUCACAGAUAUAUAUACAAGGCAUGUACAUAUAUAUAUGCAUAUAUAUACUCUAUCCACUAAGCCAUGCUGCUUCUCUAUUCGAAUUGUGGAUGAGUGCCCAGCUGGCAGUCCCCGACAGGGGCUCUGAGUGCUCCCACCAGUAAUGUGGCCCCGCACCUCCCCUUCCCGUCCUCUCUCACCUGCAUAGCAUCCCAAGGGCCUGUACCAUCACCAUUACAGACUAAUCCAUGGUGUGCCGGGACCACCAUGCUGAAAUGCAACAGUCCACAUCCCUGUCAGUUUCAGGGUCUGCUUCCACUGUUAGACCAGCUCCGGUGGCCCAGAAGAACUACUCUUUCUCUCUCUCCCUCUCACACACACACUCUCUCUCUCUCUCACACACACACACACACACAUAUGUCCCAUGGCCCAGCUUCACUGUCAGACAGAUUCCAGCAGCCCCUGAGAGGAACCUCCUUCACAAACACAUUCUUCUGGGACUGGUCAUGCCCCGAUGGCUCCUUGGUGCCUAAAAUACACCCUUUCUUCUCCAUCCAAAUUGCUACCACGUUAAUAGAAUCACUCAUCCUAUCCCACCUGGAUUACUGCAUCAGCCUCCUUGCUGACCUCCCAGCCUUCUGUCCCUCUCCACUCCAGUCUGUACUUCACUCUGCUGCCUGCAUCAUUUUUCUAUAAAAACGUUCAGGACAUAUCACCCCACUCCUCAAAAUACUCCAGUGGUUGCCCAGCCACCUCCGCAUCAAACAAAAACUUCUCACCAUUGUCUUUAAAACAUUCCACCACCUGGUUCCCUCCUACCUCAUUUCGCUUCUCUCCUUCUACAAGCCAGCCCGCACACUUCACUCCUCUAGUGCUAACCUUCCCACUGUGCCCCCAUCUCUCCUGUCUCACAACUGACCCUUAGGCAAUGUCCUGUCUCUGGUCUGGAACACUCUCCCUCCUCAAAUCUGCUUGGCAAUUACUCUCCCCCUCUUCAAAGUCUUAUUGAAGGCACAUCUCCUCUAAGAGGCCUUCCCAGACUAAACCCUCCAUCUCCUCUUCUCCCACUCCCUUAUGGGUCACCCUGAGAUGCUCCCAUAUUCUUCCCCUCUCCCAGCACUUCUGUACAUAUCUGGAUUUUUUUAUUUGCAUUGAUGUCUGUCUCACCCCCUCUAGACUGUAAGCUUGUGGCAGGGAAUGUGUCUGUUUAUUGUUGUAUUGUACUUUCCCAAGCACUUAGAACAGUACUCUGCACACAUUAAGUGUUUAAUAAAUAUGAUUGAAUUCCAU
rnacentral:lncRNA from 1 species